UUAGAUGCAAUGUUUAUCAAAAAUUCGGACAUUUUUUGCAAACAAAACAGUAGAAUAAAAAAAACAAGAGAGCAAUUUGACUGAAUAACGACUUUUAUUGAUUGAAAAUGGCCUAUAAAGACAAAAUACAUCAGGAAGCAAUUCCUAGGAAGAGGUAAUUGCGCCAAAAGAGAAAAUAAACUAUCCUAUUGGCAAUGUGAACACGACAUUCCACUAUUUUCCAAUUCUGUUAUGACUCAUAGGUCUUC
rnacentral:lncRNA from 1 species